rnacentral:rRNA from 1 species
UACGUAGGGUGCGAGCGUUAAUCGGAAUUACUGGGCGUAAAGCGUGCGCAGGCUGUUCGUUGUGUCGGCGGUGAAAGCCCCGGGCUUAACCUGGGAAUGGCCGUCGAAACUGACGAACUGGAGUGUGGCAGAGGGGGGUGGAAUUCCGCGUGUAGCAGUGAAAUGCGUAGAGAUGCGGAGGAACACCGAUGGCGAAGGCAGCCCCCUGGGCUGACACUGACGCUCAGGCACGAAAGCGUGGGGAGCAAACAGG